rnacentral:lncRNA from 1 species
CAGACUCUCACGAAUGCAGCAAGAAUAACGGAGGAUGUUCAAGCUUAUGUUUACCCAAGCCAGGUGGGCGUACGUGCGCAUGCGCGAAUGGUUACUAUCUGGUAAGCAAAGAAGAUACCUUGAGAUUGUGGGGCCUAGGUUCUGGUUUGGGAUCUGGUUCAGGAUCAGGGAUAGGAUCCGGGAUAGGAUCAGGUUUGAAUGUGACGAUGUCUGGUUCAGGACAAGGGGGCUCUGGGUCUGGUGGAUCAGGCAUUAAACCUAAGUCAGGGCCCACCCUGAUUUCAUCUUCGAAUAACAAUAUUACUUCGGGCGAGGCGAUUUGUGUUGAUGAGGAAACUUAUAAAUAUUUAGA